rnacentral:rRNA from 1 species
UGGUGGAGUGAUUUGUCUGGUUAAUUCCGAUAACGAGCGAGACCUCAACCUGCUAAAUAGUCCCGCCAACCUUGGUUGGCGGUUUCUUUUUCAAGUGACUUCUUAGAGGGACUACGAAUGUUGCAAUUCGUGGAAGUUUGAGGCAAUAACA